UGCCUCAACCUGAUUAAGAAAAGUUCGUCUGAGUGAGUGGAGAGCUAGCAAAGGAAAAAUAUUGAAAAGGCCUCCUAGCUCAGUAAUAACCCAGCCUGAACCUGAAGGACAGAAUGAAAAACUAGUUGGGUCAUUUUUGGACUACCCUGGCAGAAGAAGAUGAACAAAGAUUAUUUACUGAAAAAGUAAAC